AAGCUACACUUUUUUUUUUUUUUUUUGCAAAAAUCCCUAAUUUUGUAACCAUUGCAUCUUGACACUUAUUCACUCCUUCAUCCCCACUUGCUGGACAGUUGAACUGAUCUUGUGGAACUGUGGUGAAGACAAAUUAAUUCCGUUUCCCAUCCUGGAACCAUUGCCCAAACUAUCCAAGAGUCCAUUUCAGUAGACUUGGGUUUACUUCUCAAAACACUGGACUACUGGACUAUUAUUAAGUCUGCAAUAACUUAUUAAUACAAUCAAGUUCAGAAGUUUCAAUUGACUCAAACAGGGUUAUUGUUGUCACAGUGCUACCUCCAGUCAUUUGGAUCUAAUAUGCUUUCUUAAGGGGAAAGAAGAGAAAGGGUGUAUUUCAAUACUUUAUACUGAAGAUUGUCCAUAAGCUUAAUUACUUUAAAAAUAUUUUAUCUAUUUAUUGAUUGAUCAAUUGACAGAGAGAGAGAGAGCAUGCUUGCAUGCACAAGUUGGGGGAGGGGUAGAAGGAGAAGGACAGAGAAUCUCAAGUAGACUCCACACUGAUCAUCUCUCUCAACACCGAGACCAUGACCUGAGCCGAAAUCAAGAGUUGGACACUCAACUGACUCUCAGGUGCCACUCAUGUGCUCCAUGCCUCGUUACUUUAAGAUGAAGGUAUAUUAUAAACUCAUGAAACAAAAAGGGAUUUUCAGCACUUAUCAACUGUCAACUCCCUUUCACGGGACACUGUGUUAGGUGUGGGCUUCACUCUCCUAUUUACUUGAGCAACAGACUUAGUGGAAGUUGUCACCAGAAGGUAUGACAUGGAGGAGGUUCAGACAGAUACUUUUAAGGGAAGGUUAAAAGUAUAAUGUAAGCUUUUAAAUGUAAAGCUUGUUGUUACUCUUAUUUCUCACCCCUGUCCAGCUGUUUCUAAAACAAUGAAUGCAUAAAAAGAGGAAGAACAGGAAAUGUUUGUAAAAUUGGCCCUAAAUUAUCACUAAGACAUAUAGCCAACAGGUUAAUAAAUCUAUGCAGACUAACUAUGUAUAUGGUGUCUCCUUGUGACUCCAUGAUAAAAGGAAUCAAAUAUGAUAAUGCCUACAGAUACAUUUUAUAACAUGGGCAGUGAUUACAAACAUUACAAUGAGCGUCAUCUCUGAUGUGGAAGUAUUGCUGAAGGGUAAUUAAUAUCCUUUUCAGUAAAACCAGCCAGACUAUAAAUCAAACCUUAACCUAUACUAGUUUGAAAAUCUUGUAAGUUCCUUAAAAGCCAAGGCCAUGUUUUAUUAAUCUUGACACGCCCCACACUACCCAGAAAAGUAUUUAGGUUGGAGCAAAAUCUCUAUUAAAUAUGUUUAUUUAGUCAAAGACAGAAUUACAUGUAGCAAUAAACAGAUAUGCUCAAGCCUGAUUAACAAGAGGCAAGGUGAGCAAAAAGUGUUAAGAUCUGUGCUAAGAGAAGUGGGAUAGGGAAUGAGACUUCUGCUACAAAGCAUAGGGAUUAUAAUGCUGAAGAAUGAUAGAAAGAAACAGAACUAUUUAAAUUUGAUUUUUAAUGGCUUCUCUGUUAAAGAGAAUGAUGUUCUUGAGAAUGGAAGAGUAAAAUAAACAUCAGUCACAGGGAAGUAUAGCUAGCUCAAGAUGGGUGAAGAAAUUGGGGGAAAAAAAUUCAAUUGCUUUAAAUGAUGUUGAGUCUUCCUGCUGAGACAAAUUACAACCUUGGGGUACUGAUAAACCUCACAAUUGAAAUAAAUUAAUUACUUAGAGUGUUUUUAAAGAAAUAAUGGAGAAGUGCAAGGGUGAUGAAGACCAAAGAUAGGUAAAGUACUUAAUUUGCAGAAAAGAAAAGGUGCAUUAUGUGAGCUGAAGAAUUCUGAUGUUGAUUCUUAGAAAAUAAUGCAAUGCUUAUUAAGAGUUAUCAAAGAUUCACUAAGAGGAGACUAAUUGAGAGUUUUUGCAACUCUUCCCCACCCAUACACGCACACAAUUAUUAAGAUUUUAUACACAUGAGAAAUGUAAAAGGUAUGAUUUAUUUGCAUUUUAGUGAGGCGCUUCUCACCACCCUCAUGAUCUACUUACCAUUAAGAAUCAAGAUAUGAGGACUGGAUUGUAAUAUUAGCUGGAUUUGUAGCUGGUCAAUGACAACCAUAGGGUAUAUGUGAUGAAUGGAUCGUUUUUUGUUUUUGUUUUUUUUUUUGAAUGGAUCAGUCUUGUCUUAGAACUAUCUAGAAGCUUGUAAUUAGGCUCUUGUCUUAGAACUAUCUAGAAGCUUGUAAUUAGGCUCUGUUCUUGACCCUAACCCACUCCACAUUUAAAAAAAAUAAUUCCAUUAUGUGAAAAUGACAUUUGUAAAUAAGAUGAAGAUGGAAGGAGGAUUAAUACAUUAUCUUGGUGACAGAAUCAGAGAUUAAACUAACUUAAUACUCUGUAAGAAUGAGAUGAAGCUAAAUCAAUGAAAUAUAUUUUAGAUAUGAUGUUAGGUCUCAUUUGUGAUUACAAACAGAAUUACAUACACAAGCAUGAGGUAAGGAAGUGCAGGAAUAGUAGCUGGGGGAAAUGGGAUAGGUUUCUAAUUCCAGGAUACGAGUUGCCAAAAAUAUCUGAUGCAAACUUAGGCAGCAAUAAAUAUCUAGGAAUUAUCCAGAAAGUGGAUGAAGAUAAUUCCACUUUACUCCGUAUCACUUACAUCAUUCUUAGAGAAUUAAGAGAAUCCAGCACGAUCCUGGGUGCCACAGGGAUAUAAAUAAACUGGAACACAUUCUUAAGGGAGGAACUGGGAACCCCCUCUCCAGACACACAGAGGAAAACUGAGGCCAUGUGACCUGCAGAACAGAGCAGGACUGGUAUUAGCGCCCUGUGAGAAGCUGCGUAAAUUUAGAAAACAAUCUUUACAGUAUCGAGAGGUAGCUUUUCUCCUUUACAGUUUCUUUUUUGUGCUUCGAAAGUUAUUUUAUCCCAAUUAUCUCACUGUAGACAAUUGAGAAAAUAUGUAACAAGAUACAAAAGAGAGUGUUAUUACUGUAUUUGGUUUUAUUGCAUUUUUUUGCCAUAUCUAUUUCUAAUUGUACUGGGCAUAAAUUUGUAUACAAUUAUUUAGCAUUAUAUCAUAAAAGCCUUAUUGCAUAAAUGAAUAUUUACCUCCUCACCUGAGUAUAAAGAUUUUUAUGAGCAUGUGCAGAAAUGAAUGAGCUUUUAUCUUUUGCUUUCCCAAAGAAGCCAUCUACAAUGUAUUGGAAUCUAGGCACUGCCCUAGAUGUUGGAGACGCCACACACAUCAAGAGACAAAAUCCCAACUCUUCUUGAGUUUAUAUUUGUGUUUCUUCAGAGGGAGCAUAAAAUAGACACACAAGCAAAUAAAAGGAUCAUUUCUCAUAAUGUGUACCAUAAAGAAACUUGAUUUGACAAAUGUACCUCUAAAAAUGUAUGACAUUUGAACUGAGACCUGAAAGACAAAGAGAAAGCAAUGCAAACAUCUCACAGCAGACAGGCACAGCAGAUGGAGGGGUAGACCUGAAAGUCUGUAAGGGUGAGAAUAAACUUGGUGUGUUUAAGGAACAGAAAGAAGGGUAGCAAAGCUGGAGUUGGUUGAGUGGAGGAGGGUGGUAAACGAAGAGGUCAGAUUAAUAGUUAAGGUGAGGUCACGGCAAGGAUUUCAUUCUGCAUGCAGAGGGAAAACCUUUAGAAGUUUUUUGAGAUGGGAAUGACCUUAUCUGGUUUACUUUUAAAAAGGUAUCUUUCUGGCUAUUUACAGGGAGGAUGUAAUACAGUGGGGACAAAGGCAGAAUCAUAAAGACAACCCACUCCAGUGUUACAGUGAACACAAGUAUCAGAUAGAUGUUGGAGUUAAGAUCUGUUUUUAUCUGGUA
rnacentral:lncRNA from 1 species